rnacentral:rRNA from 1 species
AACGAACGCUGGCGGCAUGCCUAACACAUGCAAGUCGAACGAGACCUUCGGGUCUAGUGGCGCACGUGUGCGUAACGCGUGGGAACCUGCCCUUAGGUUCGGAAUAACUCCCCGAAAGGGGUGCUAAUACCGGAUAAUGUCUUCGGACCAAAGAUUUAUCGCCUUUGGAUGGGCCCGCGUUGGAUUAGCUAGUUGGUAGGGUAAAAGCCUACCAAGGCGACGAUCCAUAGCUGGUCUGAGAGGAUGAUCAUCCACACUGGGACUGAGACACGGCCCAGACUGGUACGGAAGGGAGCAGUGGGGAAUAUUGGAGAAGGGGGGAAAGCCUGAUCAAGCAAUGCGGCGUGAGUGAUGAAGGCCGUAGGGUUGUAAAGCUCUUUUACACGGGAUGAUAAUGACAGUACCGGGAGAAUAAGCUCCGGCUAACUCCGUG